ACUCCUACGGGAGGCAGCAGUGGGGAAUAUUGCACAAUGGGGGAAACCCUGAUGCAGCCAUGCCGCGUGUGUGAAGAAGGCCUUCGGGUUGUAAAGCACUUUCAGUAGGGAGGAAGGUAGUGUAGUUAACACCUGCACUAUUUGACGUUACCUACAGAAGAAGCACCGGCUAACUCCGUGCCAGCAGCCGCGGUAAUACGGAGGGUGCGAGCGUUAAUCGGAAUUACUGGGCGUAAAGCGCAUGCAGGCGGCCUGUUAAGUCAGAUGUGAAAGCCCGGGGCUUAACCUCGGAAUUGCAUUUGAAACUGGCAGGCUAGAGUCUUGUAGAGGGGGGUAGAAUUUCAGGUGUAGCGGUGAAAUGCGUAGAGAUCUGAAGGAUACCAGUGGCGAAGGCGGCCCCCUGGACAAAGACUGACGCUCAGAUGCGAAAGCUGGGGGAGCAAACAGGAUUAGAUACCCUGGGAGCACAGAG
rnacentral:rRNA from 1 species